rnacentral:rRNA from 1 species
UACGUAGGGUCCGAGCGUUGUCCGGAGUCACUGGGCAUAAAGCGCACGUAGGCGGCUAGGUCCGUCCGAUGUGAAAGCCCCCGGCUCAACCGGGGAAUUGCAUCGGAUACAGCCUGGCUUGAGGACGGUUGGGGUGAGUGGAACUCCUGGUGGAGCGGUGAAAUGCGUAGAUAUCAGGAGGAACACCGGUGGCGAAAGCGGCUCACUGGACCGUUACUGACGCUGAGGUGCGAAAGCUAGGGGAGCAAACGGG